AUGGAAGGCUUGCUGCCGUUCCUGUACAGGGCCAUCCUCCUCCACUACAUCGACGGCGGCCGGACGCCCACCGGCGACAGCCCCUUCCCCCGCAGCGACUCGCCAUCAACCUCACGGUCCUAUUACGUCCGCCUCGCCGGCAGCGCCGACGACUUUGGCCGGCUCCGGUUCGCCCCCACUUGUCCCGCCAGCAGCGACGCGCUCCUGUGA
rnacentral:rRNA from 1 species